rnacentral:misc_RNA from 1 species
GAUGAAGAACGUAGCGAAAUGCGAUACUUGGUGUGAAUUGCAGAAUCCCGUGAACCAUCGAGUCUUUGAACGCAAGUUGCGCCCGAAGCCAUUAGGCCGAGGGCACGCCUGCCUGGGCGUCACACGUCGUUGCCCCCCCCCAUCUACUCCUUCGGGAUUGCGGGGGGCGGAUGAUGGCCUCCCGUGCGCCUCGCCGCGCGGUUGGCAUAAAUGCCAAGUCCUCGGCGACGCACGCCACGACAAUCGAUGGUUGCGAAACCUCGGUUGCCCGUCGUGUGCGGUCGUCGCGCAUCGAGGGCUCGAAAAAAUUGCCGAGUUCCGGCUCGGCUUUCAACGCGACCCCAGGUCAGGCGGGGUUACCCGCUGAAUUUAAGCAUAUCAAUAAGCGGAGGA